GUGAGUAUAGCUUAGUGUUAGUGGUAGAGUGUGUGCUUAGCAUGCACAGGGUUCUGGGUUCAAUCCCCAGUACCUCCA
rnacentral:tRNA from 1 species